rnacentral:rRNA from 1 species
UUAAUUAAAUAUAGAAUUUAAUUUUUUAAUUAAAAAGUUAAAAUAAAUUAAAAAGACGAGAAGACCCUAUAGAGUUUUAUAAUUAAUUUAAUUAAGGUUAUUUAAAUAAAAAAAAAUUGAAAUUAAAUUAUUUAUUUUGUUGGGGUGACAGAAAAAUAUAAUUAACUUUUUUUUUAAUUUAAAACAUUUAUAAGUGAUUAAAUGAUCCAAUAUUAUUGAUUAUAAGAAAAAAUUACCUUAGGGAUAACAGCGUAAUUUUUUUUUUUAGUACAAAUAAGAAAAAGAGUUUGCGACCUCGAUGUUGGAUUAAGAUAAAAUUUAAAUGCA